GCUCCUCAGCUCUCCAAAAGCCUUACUGUGCAGGGGAAGGAGACGAGUCUGUCCUGUUCCACCAGGACCACCCUGUCUCUAGUCCUGACAGCCACGCCUAUUCACAGUCUUCCCUGCGCCUAGCCAGGGGUGGCUUUUCCUCCAGUGGGCUGACACCUUCUGGAAGGGGGCAGUUUUUCUAGUUUCUGUAUGUGCUAUCAUUUUCAUUUUCUCUUGUAAUUUCUCUGACUUAAUGAUUUCUAGCCCUACUUUUUUUUUUUAAGUAAGUAUGGGAACAGCAACCCUUGGUUAGACAAACAUGUAUUUUUUAUAACUCAGUAAAUCCAUAUUAAUAUAAUAGAAUCUGCAGGCAUUGAUGAAUCAACAUGGCACUUGGUGGCAGCAUCACUGAACUGGAAUUAUACCUAAUAUUUAUUUAAAUUUUAUGUAUCAAGUUCCGCAUGGUUCACAAAUGGCCAGUGGGGAUUGUCUGAUGAAAUGAAAAUCAGUCUUCUGUCUGCACUCAUGUCUCCUCAGUGUCUCAACCUUUUGACUGGUGGGGCAGGCACACACAUGCAGAGUUUCUAGACUGACCCUGAUUAUCUGCUCUCAAGAUAUCAUUUUCAACUUUAUAAUAGAGUUUGUAUAACACCUCUCUUUCCAUGCCCAGCUGCAUUCUCACCUUAGCACUUGUCCUUGAUUCCAUCUCUGUUUAUAAAAAUGUAGUCUGGAAGAUUUCUCUUAAUGAAUGAGGAAGGCAUAGGAAAAAUCUCUUGGGCCCUGAGAUCUAAUGUUGGCUUAGCCACUUACUAGCUGUAUAAUGAUAUGUGGGAUAGAUUUGGCUUCAAGUAACAGAAAACUUGACUAGUGGUAUUUUACCCAAAGAGAUGUAUGUGUCUAUUUAUUAAUAUUCUUUAACAAGAAGGCUGAGAGUAGGAAGUUGCUGGCCUGAUUCAGCCUCAGUUGAAUGAUGUCAUCGAGGACCAGGUUCCCUGUGUCUUUCCUUCUACAUCCCUUAUUGUGUGGCCAUUUUAUCCUCGUGCUCAUAGCUUUAUUGCCACAAGAUGCCCAUCCUGGCUCCAGACUGCAUGUUUCCUUUAAGGCAGGACAAAUAGGGACAUAGAGGUUGGUGCCUCUAUGUCUGCCCCACUUUACUAAGAAAGCAGAAGAUUUUCAAGAAACCCUCCCAGCAGAUGCCUCUGGUCAUGACUGUCCUAUAGCCACUCCUAGCUGCAAGAGAGACUGGGAAGAUAGUUUUUCACCUUGUGCAGUGGAAAGUAGCAAGGAGGAAGAGUUGGACAUGCCUACAGGAUCAGUCAGUAGGCAGUGUCUGCCGCAGUGUCUCCGGACAAUUUACAUAGUUUUGGAUGUCAGUUUCCUCAGCUAUAAAGUGAGGUGGCUUAAGCAGAAUCUAGAUGGUCUCUGGUGUUCCCUUUAGUUCUAACACAUGGCUUUUUGAGCUUUAACAUAUGUGCAUAUCACCUGGAGAUCUUGUUAAAAUGCAGACUCUGGUGGUGGGGGUAUGGAGCCCAGGAUUCUGCAUCUCUCCUGGGUGGUGGUGAUGCUGCUGGACCACACUUAGAUUUGCAAGACUCUAAAGUUCUGUAAGUCCUUAGAUAUCUUUCUGCUUUUCUCAUUAGACAAGCCAGCUUAAGGUAAAGACCAUACAAAGUCCUUAAGUUUCCUAGAAUAACUUUGAAUUCACAGAAAUUAUUCAUCCAUCAACAAACAUGCACAUUCCUACUAUUUUUUUCAUCGUCUGACCUAGAGCCUCAGUCUUAAAGGGAUUAUAAGUAGCUGGGAAGAGGGGAAUAAGGAAGAACUUUUCUAAUUUAAUUCUCAUAACAACCUAAGGAAUCUGCUAGUGUGAUUACUCUCAUCUCAACAAUAAAGGAAUCUGAGAAUCAGAGACUCAGGGAAAUUAAGUUACUUUCUUAAGGUCAUAUAGCUGGUAGAUGACAGGGUUUUGAUUCUAACUCAGGUCUCUGAUUUUUAAGUCCAUGCUUCUUCCAUUUUAUCAUACUGACUCUUGCAGAGCCCCACAAGGAUAAAUACGAGAUAGCUCCCAACCAAGUGAUGAUUAGCUUAUUACAAACCUGUCCAUAGUAAUUCAUAUCAGAUCACCCCUCCAGAUCCAUUCCCCACCCUUUUCUGAGGUCACUCUCCCUGGGCUCUGGCCUCCAGUUGGGUCCAGCAAUGGGAAUCAACUGCAGGAGAUUGUGGAGCAUGGAAGAGAUAGAGGUUGGGAUAUUUGCAUACCUCCUUUCCCCAUGGUUUAGUAGUAGCUGUGUUUUAAGGCUACAACUCAGCUGGCCUCCCCUACAGCUCUUAUUGGUUUCUAGUAACUGCUGCCUCCCCUGUCCCUUCAGACCUAGGGGAUAACUGCUUCCCCUGGUGCUGGUCCCUGGGCACUUCACCAUCCCUUUGGGGUUCCCUUAGCCCUGCCCACCCCUUUUAAAUAGUCUCUUCACCCUUUUGGGGUGCUUUUUCCUAAUUAGACCACAACUCACUAACUCAUUUCUAAAAACAUGUUCAGGUAGUGUAGAUACCCUAAAAACUCUACAUAAGUCAGAAGGAGGUUUGGGAGGUUUCAACAGUCUGAGUUGGGGAGAAGUCAGGGCUUCAACUAGGCCUUGACAGAUGGGGAGGAUUUGUAGAGACAGUGGAGAGAGAACAUGCUGAAGCUCUUCAGGCAAAGGCAAGAAUUAAAGGGAUGUGGGCCUCUACCUGCGUUUUGGGAUCAAUAAUAAAAUAGGUUGCCUGGGGUGAAACAAAAUAAGGGUGGGUUACAGGAAGAGUAACACUGUUAUUAAGUGCUUUGCUUGAACUAACUCCUUCCAUCAAGAGCCCCAUGAUUGUCUUCAUUUUUUAGAGAGAAGGAGGAAGUUGAAGCAGAGAAGGGUUAAGAGCUAGUCCCAGGUCGCCCAGCUCUUAAGUGGCCGGGACUUGACCCUUUGUGGUCUGGCUCUGAGCCUGCCCUUUGACCCUCCCUGCUGUGUUUAAGUGUGGACUUCCUGAAGCCACUGACUGUUUUGGAGCAGGGACGAACUCUGAAGAAAGUGGUGUUUAAGAGAGGGAAGCCUGGAUGUGUAGGAUGGAAGACAUGCGGGGAAGAGCCAUGGGAAAGUGCUGCCCCCCUGCAGAGCAGAGGGUUCAUGUGCUCCCUGUGCCCAGGAAAGAGGCUCUCAACCACUUUCCACGGGACCUUUCAUGCUUUUUUCAUCUGGCCCUUUCCUGAGUGUGACAAUGGAAGGUCUGCCUUUCCUUUUCAUAUACCUGGGUCCAGCAUUCAUGUUCCUUUAUCUCAGUGGCAGGAAAAUGAGGGAAACCUGAGUCAAGGCGGCUGGGAGCUGCCCCUGUUGCUGGGUCCAUUCAAGAACAGGGCUUGGAAGAAGCAGCUGCCCCAGUCCGGGUGCAGCGUCCUCAGUCUGCCUGGUCUGCAUAGUCUUGGGGGGAUUCACAUAAGAGUUUUUGUUUUUAAUUGCUCAGAGAUGAAUUUCUUUAGCAGCCAAAUAGCUCCAAUUGCCCAAUUUGUUCUCUUUCUAGCUUCCAUAUGGAAAUGUGGAUUAACCUGAGUCUCCUUUUCCUCAUCUAUGCAGUGGUGGUAGUAGCAGCUGCCUGACAUUUACUGUGUUCCUUCAUGUACAUUCACAUCACCAGGAUUAACCCAAAGUGGUGAUUUAUGAAGAAAUGGAGUCCUUUCAAGUUUCUGGCUUUGUGCAUACUCUCAAGAAUAGAAAUAUGUGAAGCCUUUCACAUUGAUUUGAAAAGGAAGUCAGGACUGCAGUGGACACUGCACUUUUGGCCCAGAAUCUCUCUGGAUUAUGAAUCAACCCGAUGGUAAAUAUUGGAAAUCCAUUGUUCAAGUUCAGAACAAGGCUCACCAAAGGUAAAUAGCAUGUGUGCUCAUCAAUGAUAAUUAGCUUGAUUUUAUUUUGCAGUAUUCCAGCCUGUUUAAACACUCAUGGGAACAUGGCUGCCCUUUUCUGGGUUUGCAUCUGAAGUUGUCUAAAGGGAUAAAGGUGGAUUUUUACCCUCUUUCAGUGACAGCUUACUUCUUUGCUCUUGGUCUCAUUUUUCCUGAAUUUAGUCCUUUUCUCACACUAUUCAUAUUGAGAAAAGCUGGAUAUCUCCUCACCAUUUCUCAUAGUUGGGAGGAAGAUGAUACUUGAUUGUAGAAUGGAAACCUAGCCUCAAAAGAGGACUUGGGAAAGAGGAUUGAGAGAUAAUUCUAUAGGAAAAAGAAUAAGAGGAAACUUAUGAGUGUUGGGUCUGAAAACUCAGUAUGGUGACAAUGGUGUGCAUGAAGUAGCUCGGCAAUUUCAAUAACACAAUUGAAGCUGUACAGUGGGCAGGUAGGGUCGGCUCUUGGGACAUACCUUUUUAUGGAUCUGUCAUAGCGGACUGUCACUGUGCACACUCUGCUGCUCUUGCUGUGCUGUCUUAGCUUAAAUAUAGUGGUGGUCCCAGAUUUACUGUGACGGGCACUUUUCAAGGAAUAGCAUUUUAAAUUUAUAAAAACAUUAUGAAAAGCUGAAUGUUACUGAUUGGAUUUCUACCCAUCAAGAAAUUCUCCUUCACAAUACCCAGGGCACCCUUGCGCUCAGAUAUUACUGCCUUCUUGUCCACUCCCUUUCCAUUUCUGCUGGGUUCUCUUGUCAUCUGUCCUGUCAGUGCAACGCUCAAUGCACAUGGCCUAUGCACCACCCUUCCUCUCACCUUCAGUCCAUUCCAUGCCUGAGUUGCAUGACUGCAUUAUAAAUCUGCCAAAAGGCUCUUGUUUUAUUCAAACUGGUAGCAAAACAAAAUUAUCCAUGGGCAGCCAAGCCAAGUUUUUCUUUCACUUGCUUUUGGAAGGCUUCAUAAAAUACUAAUGUGCAGAAUUUAUAGUUAUGAAUUUAAUUAUGCUAGGAGAAACAAUCACCAAGUUUCUGUUUGGUUUAUGACUUUUUUCCCUCACAACAGCAACAGAUGCCUGAAAUAAACAGCUAACACCAGCACACCUUUUUAUUUCCUGUAUGAGUUUUGUCUGCCUUUCCUGUAUAAUUCUCAAGCACCUAAACAAGUGCAUGCUCCAUCUGACCUUUUCAUUGAACCCAUGGAAUCAGUGCAGGUGCUGCUUUGUCUUGAAGUUUUCUCUUUACAUUUUAGUUUUUAUAAAACAUAAAGUGGGAAAUGAGUUCCAAUGUCUGAGGCAGUCAGCAAAAUUGGGAUGCUUCCUUUUUUAAAAAAGAAAAUUCUUAUAGAACAUACAAAGAAUAGGCCCCUUGUCUGAUUUGCAUUUAUCAUUAUA